CCCUUAGACGUUCUGGGCCGCACGCGCGCUACACUGACGGAGCCAGCGAGUAUAAACCUUGGCCGAGAGGUCUGGGAAAUCUUGUGAAACUCCGUCGUGCUGGGGAUAGAGCAUUGUAAUUAUUGCUCUUCAACGAGGAAUUCCUAGUAAGCGCAAGUCAUCAGCUUGCGUUGAUUACGUCCCUGCCCUUUGUACACACCGCCCGUCGCUACUACCGAUUGAAUGGCUUAGCGAGGCUUCCGGAUUGGUUUAGAGAAGGGGGCAACUCCAUCUUGGAACCGAGAAGCUAGUCAAACUUGGUCAUUUAGAGGAAGUAAAAGUCGUAACA
rnacentral:rRNA from 1 species